AUGGCUAGCCUAGUGAGAUCACUUCUUCACAAAUCACAAUGGAAUGACACCAAGUUUGAUGCUGAAUCACUUUUCAACAUAGCUGGAAACAUCCUUACACGUUCAACACAUAUUGUUGAUAACUUUCUGCAAGGACAUCAUGGAGCUCUGGAGCACUUAGAUAGCAUUAAUCCACAAGCUGGCUUCACUUCACCGUUGUGUACUUUGAAGCAAAUUAAUUUUGAGGUCUAUGUUUAA